rnacentral:rRNA from 1 species
GAUGAACGCUGGCGGCGUGCCUAAUACAUGCAAGUCGAGCGAACGGACGAGAAGCUUGCUUUUCUGAUGUUAGCGGCGGACGGGUGAGUAACACGUGGAUAACCUACCUAUAAGACUGGGAUAACUUCGGGAAACCGGAGCUAAUACCGGAUAAUAUUUUGAACCGCAUGGUUCAAAAGUGAAAGACGGUCUUGCUGUCACUUAUAGAUGGAUCCGCGCUACAUUAGCUAGUUGGUAAGGUAACGGCUUACCAAGGCAACGAUGCAUAGCCGACCUGAGAGGGUGAUCGGCCACACUGGAACUGAGACACGGUCCAGACUCCUACGGGAGGCAGCAGUAGGGAAUCUUCCGCAAUGGGCGAAAGCCUGACGGAGCAACGCCGCGUGAGUGAUGAAGGUCUUCGGAUCGUAAAACUCUGUUAUUAGGGAAGAACAUAUGUGUAAGUAACUGUGCACAUCUUGACGGUACCUAAUCAGAAAGCCACGGCUAACUACGUGCCAGCAGCCGCGGUAAUACGUAGGUGGCAAGCGUUAUCCGGAAUUAUUGGGCGUAAAGCGCGCGUAGGCGGUUUUUUAAGUCUGAUGUGAAAGCCCACGGCUCAACCGUGGAGGGUCAUUGGAAACUGGAAAACUUGAGUGCAGAAGAGGAAAGUGGAAUUCCAUGUGUAGCGGUGAAAUGCGCAGAGAUAUGGAGGAACACCAGUGGCGAAGGCGACUUUCUGGUCUGUAACUGACGCUGAUGUGCGAAAGCGUGGGGAUCAAACAGGAUUAGAUACCCUGGUAGUCCACGCCGUAAACGAUGAGUGCUAAGUGUUAGGGGGUUUCCGCCCCUUAGUGCUGCAGCUAACGCAUUAAGCACUCCGCCUGGGGAGUACGACCGCAAGGUUGAAACUCAAAGGAAUUGACGGGGACCCGCACAAGCGGUGGAGCAUGUGGUUUAAUUCGAAGCAACGCGAAGAACCUUACCAAAUCUUGACAUCCUUUGACAACUCUAGAGAUAGAGCCUUCCCCUUCGGGGGACAAAGUGACAGGUGGUGCAUGGUUGUCGUCAGCUCGUGUCGUGAGAUGUUGGGUUAAGUCCCGCGACGAGCGCAACCCUUAAGCUUAGUUGCCAUCAUUAAGUUGGGCACUCUAAGUUGACUGCCGGUGACAAACCGGAGGAAGGUGGGGAUGACGUCAAAUCAUCAUGCCCCUUAUGAUUUGGGCUACACACGUGCUACAAUGGACAAUACAAAGGGCAGCGAAACCGCGAGGUCAAGCAAAUCCCAUAAAGUUGUUCUCAGUUCGGAUUGUAGUCUGCAACUCGACUACAUGAAGCUGGAAUCGCUAGUAAUCGUAGAUCAGCAUGCUACGGUGAAUACGUUCCCGGGUCU